rnacentral:tRNA from 1 species
UCUAAUGUGGCAGACUAAGUGCGGUAGAUUUAAGCUCUAUAAAUGAACUUAAAAUAUUCCUUUAGAA